UCGUGUCACCGUGUUUUUUCUGCUCUCUCAGUGCAAGCGAUCGAUGUCCCUAUCAUUGUCGUGUCCCAAUCCCAGCCAAGAUUCUACCUCAAACCAGCCACCAUGCAAAAAACACCACAGCCCCUCUCCUCGACUCUCCUCUCUUCCCCAAGUUGCACUAAACAAUCACCAUGCAUCGACAAGUCACCACCGAAGCCUGGGGUAAAACCUCAUCACUGGCAAUGGAAGGACAAUUCAUUAUGUGGAGAAAAAAUAUGACCCCACCAAAGCGAAUGAAGGAGAGCAAAUGGAUCUUACGUUUCGGCAAGAGGACAGGAGUAAAGCAAAAAUAUAACCUAUAUUCAAGAGUUUGGGCCUCUUAUGCUCUUUUUCCCAGUGCCUGUUUUAAGAUUUUGUCAAAGAGAAAUAAGAACCGUGAGUUUUUGGCUCCAGGGGAUCUGCGUGCUAUCAGGAGCCAAACGACUGGUCUCUCUCGGCGACAGCCACCCCUGCCUCCGUGCAUGUCUACUCCUUUAGACGCAGCAGGCGCUGAUACACACCCCUGGGCAGAAUCGUGGAGAGUAUGGAGGGUUGGCCAUGCACAAGAACUGUCACCCAAAUCAACGGUCGGCGUUCUCAAAGAGAUUUUGCAGAAUUCCGGAUCAGAAUAUUGUAGGUAAUGUCUGAUGUCUGCCUCCUUUUGAUGUGGAGCGAGGAGUGAAUACACAAACGCAACGAGGGGAUCUAGCAGUGAAAAGUGUGUGUGUGUUAUAUCAUGUGAACAUGACAUUAGCCUUGUCGGGGGCAGGACUUCUCUCCCAUCCUGGAGAGAAAAAGGGAAAUGGAUGGAAAGAAGAAAGGAAUGAGAUAAUAACAAAUAAAGAAGGGAAACAUAAAGAAUCUGUAAUCCUGUGUUUGUUUGAGUGCUUAACGUUUUUUGUUACUGUUUGAAUAAAGCUCAAUCCUUUUAUGAAAUAGCACUUUGUGUUAGUAUUUGUCAAGAGGGUUUUUAUUUUUUUUACCGUACAAUUUUAUUGAUGAAUGACUACAGGAGAAAGUAUAUGAGCAAUUAGAAAUAUGUAGCUAAAUAAUAUUUGUAGACAAUAACCACACAAUUGUUACAAAAUGUGUGAAUUUGUAGAUAUACAUAUUACAUGUUUCUAUAUUGCUUUUUGGUCAAAAUAAAUGAAAAAACUAAA